AUUGAACGCUGGCGGCAGGCCUAACACAUGCAAGUCGAGCGGAGCGGCGGACGGGUGAGUAAUGCCUAGGACUCUGCCUGUUCGUGGGGGAUAACGUCCGGAAACGGGCGCUAAUACCGCAUACUAUCAGAUGAGCCUAGGUCGGAUUAGCUAGUUGGUGGGGUAAAGGCCUACCAAGGCGACGAUCCGUAACUGGUCUGGGAGGAUGAUCAGUCACACUGGAACUGAGACACGGUCCAGACUCCUACGGGAGGCAGCAGUGGGGAAUAUUGGACAAUGGGCGAAAGCCUGAUCCAGCCAUGCCGCGUGUGUGAAGAAGGUCUUCGGGUUGUAAAGCACUUUAAGCUGGGAGGCGUUACCAGCAGAAGAAGCACCGGCUAACUUCGUGCCAGCAGCCGCGGUAAUUC
rnacentral:rRNA from 1 species